AAAACAAAAGAGAGAGCCGAAUGUGCUCGAGGGAGAAUACGACUAGGAUAUUGAUUGAUUAAGAAAAAGGGAGACUCAUGAUCACAGAAAGGGGGGGAUCUCUUCUGAGGACCAGACGGUUAGUAGGAGACAGGAGGGAGGACCCGUACCGCAGGUGCCGAGGAGGCGCCCUCCUGGAGUAGUGCCUCCUGCUCCUCGUCGCCGGCGGGGAGUGCGCCGGGGAGGAGGCGGCGUCGCGGUGGUUGUUGUAGAGGGUCCACCGGUACCAGCCGAGGUUCCGGACGGGGUAGCUCUCGGAGCUGAUGCUCUAGUAGCUCUUGCUGGACAAGCUGGUCUUGACCGCCUGCUCCCGGUUCCGCCUGGUCCACACCAUGCACCACGAGUUCACCUGGAAGACGAAGCGGUAGCCGUAGUAGUGGCCGCAGCAGCCGAAGGAGUAGUUGGAGCGGCAGCUCUUGCAGCGGCCGAAGUUCGUGCGGCGGCAGAGGAGGGAGUACCUGAGGUGGUCGAUGACCUGCCGGAAGACCCACAAGCGGCCGCGCUUGGACCGCGACGACGACGACCGCAGCCGCUAGUGCCGCAGCCACAGCGGCCGCCGGCCGCCCAGCCCCUAGGGCCUCCACUUCCGCAUGGAGUUGCCGCACCUGCGCGGGUUGUAGAAGAGCGAGUUCUGGGAGCGACAGUUCCAGUAGCCGUUGUAUCGGCGGCACAGUAGCAGCGACGUGCAGCCGUUCCGGCCCGGUUACCACGUGUGCCCGCGCACGUAUCGACGGUAGAAGCCGGUCCCGCCGAGCGCGUCCAUGCCGGAGUGGACCGCGACCGAUGCGAUGAAGUUCUUGCUGGCGCUGGCGGCGCUGGAGCAGUGGUAGCCGCGGCCGCGGCCACAGAGGCGGCGCAAGGCGCGUGGGCAGCCGCCGCAGGAGAAGCGAGAGCUCAGGGAGAGGAGCACCACCGCCUCGCGCGACUAGACCGCGAGGAAGAAGUGCUGCCGCCACCACCGGCACCACGACUCCGACAAGCACCUCGACACGCCCAGCCCCGCCACGCCCGACAAGCCGUUCCCGCCCGAGUAGUACAUGCUGCAGGAGGCGCAGAUGUCGCAGCAGUUGCUCGCGCCCGCGCGCGUGUUCGACGACGACCGCCGCCGGCACAGGCACGAGUGCAGCACGACGCACAAGCCGUACGGUACCAAGCGCGGCACGGCCGGGACGGGGCAGCGCCCCGGGUUGCCGCGGACGCCGAGGGAGUUGUUCAAGGCCGCCAAGGUGACGGGCGGCCUGGUGAUGUUGCUGGACCGGUCGGACUACGAGUUGUAGUUGCUGCUGCGGUAGGCGUUGGAGAUGCGGUGGCCGUGGUUGCUGCAGAUGGUGGCCCCGAGGUACGAGCGGAAGAAGCACCGGAGGAUGCGCGACCCGCACGAGUCGAUGCCGCACCACCGCGGCAGCCCCGAGAAGCAGGGGUAGUAGGAGUGGCCGCGGUGGAUGCCGGCGGACCACCGGUACGACGACCCGUCCGUGAGGCCGGAGCUGGUGCCGGACCACCGGUAGGAGCCGAGCCGCAGGAAGGAGCCGCCGUGCGAGGCGUACUGCCACAGGCACACGCAGUAGUAGCACCUCGAGUGGUUGUUGGACGAGGAGGACGGCGACCACUACGAGCACGACGAGUAGAGGUUCUGGCAGCGGCUGAGGAAGUUGCGGUCGUAGAUGCUGGAGUAGCACGCGGAGUUCCCCGACGGCAUGGAGCUGCCGGUGCGGCUCGGGAUGUACGCCGUCGAGUCGCACCCGCUGCACCACCAGCCGGGCGACGCCUCGAAGUUGCCGCACCUCUUCCACCCGGUGUAGUACGUGCAGGAGGCGUGGUGCCCGGUGGUGCGCAAGGGCCACUAGCUGCUCGGCGGGAAGAGGUGGCGCGGCCACGAGAUGCCGGAGCACGAGUCCCGCGUGGACGAGCACGAGGAGGCCUUCGCCCUCAAGGACGGCCGCGUCCUCGCCAUGGGGUUCCUCAUGUCGUAGCGCCGCUCCAAGCUCCGCGUCCUGAAGCUGUUCGCGCCGAGGCCGUUCGUCCUGUGCCACCUGCCGCACCUCGACAGCGGCCUCCUCUACCCCUACAUGCACCUGGACGUGGGCAAGUGGUUGCGCAGCGGUAUGUGGCAGCACCUCUGGUACAGCGACCGGUUCCGCGAGUAGGAGAAGGCGCUCCAGCCGGAGGCGGUGGAGGAGCAGCACGGGUUCCGGACGCUAUCCAGCGGCCACCACCCCUAGGACUGCUCCGUGCUGAAGUACGGCCUCGUGUAGGACCCCGACGUGGGCCACGACGAGCCGCCGUUCACCUUCGCCGAGGCCACCGUGUUCCGGCGGCAGCGGUUCAUGAAGGCGCUGGAGUAGCACGCCGAGCGGUUGACGCCGACUUCGUAGUUUGUGUGUAGGAUCAUCACAUAUGAUGGACGUAAGACGACCGUCUUACAACCCUCACCACCAGGCACAUGUAGGCAACCUAGACGGUGGCGUCAAGAAACACAUGUAAUAAUUGCUGUCC
rnacentral:rRNA from 1 species